GACCAGUUUGAGGCGUCUUUUGAAUUUUUGAAACAUUUCCUGUGGCCCCGCCUUUGCUAAGCCUAGGGUACCUGUGGUCCCCUUUGCAUUUGACCAAUGUUUUUGUUGGGGCACUUUUGAUAUUUUUUAUAUUUUUUUUUUUAAAUUUCGCUUUUUACUCUUGUAGAUCGGGAGAAAAGCGCGCAAGAAAAGAAACGCGAGGAGUUAUUGCUCGCAGAAUUAGUUCGUUUGGUGAACAAACGUGAUGAGCUAGUGAGGAUAGAAGAUUCACAAGUUCAAGAGUAAGUGUUUUUGUG
rnacentral:lncRNA from 1 species